rnacentral:rRNA from 1 species
CGCGUAGGCGGUUUGGCAAGUCUGACGUGAAAUGUACCGGUUCAACCGGGGCGCUGUGUCAGAAACUGCCUUACUUGAGGUCGAGGGAGGAGAGUGGAAUUCCUGGUGUAGCGGUGAAAUGCGUAGAUAUCAGGAGGAACACCCGUGGCGAAGGCGACUCUCUAUCUCGAUUCUGACGCUGAGGCGCGAAAGCUAGGGGAGCAAACG